AGAGUUUGAUCCUGGCUCAGGAUGAACGCUGGCGGCGUGCUUAACACAUGCAAGUCGAACGAUGAACCUCACUUGUGGGGGGAUUAGUGGCGAACGGGUGAGUAACACGUGAGUAACCUGCCCUUGACUCUGGGAUAAGCCUGGGAAACCGGGUCUAAUACUGGAUACGACCUUCUGGCGCAUGCCAUGUUGGUGGAAAGCUUUUGUGGUUUUGGAUAGACUCGCGGCCUAUCAGCUUGUUGGUGGGGUAAUGGCCUACCAAGGCGACGACGGGUAGCCGGCCUGAGAGGGUGACCGGCCACACUGGGACUGAGACACGGCCCAGACUCCUACGGGAGGCAGCAGUGGGGAAUAUUGCACAAUGGGCGCAAGCCUGAUGCAGCGACGCCGCGUGAGGGAUGAAGGCCUUCGGGUUGUAAACCUCUUUCAGUAGGGAAGAAGCUGGUCCUUCGGGGUUGGUGACGGUACCUGCAGAAGAAGCGCCGGCUAACUACGUGCCAGCAGCCGCGGUAAUACGUAGGGCGCAAGCGUUAUCCGGAAUUAUUGGGCGUAAAGAGCUCGUAGGCGGUUUGUCGCGUCUGCCGUGAAAGUCCGGGGCUUAACCCCGGAUCUGCGGUGGGUACGGGCAGACUAGAGUGCAGUAGGGGAGACUGGAAUUCCUGGUGUAGCGGUGAAAUGCGCAGAUAUCAGGAGGAACACCGAUGGCGAAGGCAGGUCUCUGGGCUGUAACUGACGCUGAGGAGCGAAAGCAUGGGGAGCGAACAGGAUUAGAUACCCUAGUAGUCC
rnacentral:rRNA from 1 species